rnacentral:rRNA from 1 species
CCUACGGGGGGCAGCAGUGAGGAAUAUUGGUCAAUGGACGAGAGUCUGAACCAGCCAAGUAGCGUGAAGGAUGACUGCCCUAUGGGUUGUAAACUUCUUUUAUAUGGGAAUAAAAUGUUCCACGUGUGGGAUUUUGUAUGUACCAUAUGAAUAAGGAUCGGCUAACUCCGUGCCAGCAGCCGCGGUAAUACGGAGGAUCCGAGCGUUAUCCGGAUUUAUUGGGUUUAAAGGGAGCGUAGGUGGAUUGUUAAGGCAGUUGUGAAAGUUUGCGGCUCAACCGUAAAAUUGCAGUUGAAACUGGCAGUCUUGAGUACAGUAGAGGUGGGCGGAAUUCGUGGUGUAGCGGUGAAAUGCUUAGAUAUCACGAAGAACUCAGAUUGCGAAGGCAGUUCACUGGACUGCAACUGACACUGAGGCUCGAAAGUGUGGGUAUCAAACAGGAUUAGAUACCCCUGUAGUC